CUGCAGCCCGAGUGGUGAUCGAUUUUAUUGAGCCUAAAGCGUCCGUAGCCGGAUUAGUAAACCCUUGGGUAAAUUGGGCAGCUUAACUGUCCAAAUUCCGAGGGGACUGCUAGUCUUGGGACCGGGAGAGGUCAGAGGUACUCAAGGGGUAGGGGCUAAAUCCUGUAAUCCUUUGGGGACCACCAGUGGCGAAGGCGUCUGACUAGAACGGAUCCGACGGUAAGGGACGAAACCCUGGGGCGCGAACCGGAUUAGAUACCCGCGUAGUCC
rnacentral:rRNA from 1 species